CUGGCCUGCUCACUGACGUAGUUUUAAAGAGCCGCGGUAUUUUGACCGUGCAAAGGUAGCAUAAUCAUUAGUCUCUUAAUUAGGGGCUUGAAUGAAUGGCUUGACGAGAAAUCAUCUGUCUCUUAUUAAAUUCUAGAAUUUAACUUUUAAGUUAAAAGGCUUAAAUUUUUCUUUAAGACGAGAAGACCCUAUAGAGCUUAACAUUUUAUUUUUAUAUAAUUUUUAGUUAAUUUUUUUAUAUUUAAAGAUGAUGUUUUGUUGGGGUGACAUGAAGAAUAAAUAAACUCUUCAUUCUAAAAUCAUUAAUUUAUGUUUAAUAUGAUCCAUAAUUUAUGAUCAUAAGAUUAAGUUACCUUAGGGAUAACAGCGUAAUUGUUUUUGAGAGCUCAUAUUGACAAAGCAGAUUGCGACCUCGAUGUUGGAUUAAGAAUAAUUUUGGGUGCAGGAGCCCAGAAAUUAGGUCUGU
rnacentral:rRNA from 1 species